UGAUUUUGAAUCCUCUGUUGGUGAACGUUGUGGUGGUUUCGUGGAACGUCUUUUUUAUUCUCUCUUCUUGCUUUCUUUCUCACGCACACUCUUUUCUUCUCUUCCUGAACUUUCAGUGGUAUAGAAAGACACAGACCUCCAACUUCGCCUCUGAAUUGUAUGGGUUUACAAUUUAAGAACCGUUUGUUUUAUUGCUGUUGUCGGGAGAAGCAAAUCAAAAGGAAAUGUUGGCGUUUCGUCAUGCUGGAAUUGGUUUUGGGCACCGUCUUCUUGCCGGCGGUGGUGUUUUGUGGAUUUCAAAGAGCCUGAAGCUCGAAAAGCGCCUUCGUGUGGACCAGAGAGUUGAGCUGAGUGAGCUUAGAGCUCGUGACAGGGUAAGGUACCGCCGAAUCUUGCAGUAUGGGAUCGUCGAUUUUCCCAUCGAGGACAUUGUUCUAAGACAAAAAUAUUUUUGUCUAUGAUGUAGCUAAUCAAUGCAUUGGUUGGGUUGAUUAUGACUGUUCAUUGUUUGUAAAUGUCUCCACAAUUUCUCGUAAGAAUGAAUUUAUCAACACAGGACAGCUAAGUGUGAGCGGUUCAUCAGAGAUUGUUCCAUGCAGAUUGAUAUCAAGCAAUACAGUGGCUAUGGUGUUUCAAUUGCAGGUGCAUCUUUGUAGGCGAAGGAUUUGUGUAAUAUUGGUCACAAGAUAGUUGUGUGCGAAUGCACGAUUAUCUAUAACAGUAAAUUUAUAGGAGAUCACAAUAUUGAGCUACAAAUCCCCAAUGUUCACAACGCAGGUAGCUGGAGCUAUCUUCUUAUACACAGGUAAUUACAUAGAACUUUACCUCCCCUUCUCAUUUCCAGCCGUUCUUGUGGGUCAAACAACCCUGAUACAUGUAUUGAAAUAAUCCUGAAGUAAGUACCUGAAUAAAAGCCAUGAUCCAAGAGCAACUCUUGAAUUUCCUACUACACAUAUUGGAACAAAGCCAGCACCCAAAGUUGCUUUUUACGGCUCCAGAGGAUCAUCUGCAAUUUGCAACCAUGUUCUAAAGCCUGACCUCAUAGCCCCCGGCUCCUUUGUUCUUUUACAUCUUGCCCUCUAAUAAGUCCUAUUGUGAAUGAAGGAUCAACAAAAUUGUUUAGCAACUUCAACAUCAUGUACGGAACCUCCAUGGCUUGUCCUCAUGUGGUGGGAAUGGCAGCACUUCUAAAAGCAGUCCAUCCUGAACGGAGUCCAACGGCCAUUCAAUCUGUCAUGAUGAUCAUAGAAGAUUCACUCAAUACCACUCUCAAACCCAUUACAGAACUCCUAGACGGCGAGCAACCCACCAGACCUCUAGCCAUGGGAGCAGGUCACCUCAAUCCUAACAAGGCGCUCAACUUUGGACUUGUAUAUGAUGCAAAUAUAGUGGACUAAGAGAGGCUUCUCUGCGCUCUGAAUUACACUAAGAAGGAAUCAAGAAGAUAACAAGAUCGUCCUCGAACUAGUUAGCCCAUGAAGCACAAACGUUUGGUGAUUCCUCUUCAAACUUCAACCCAAGAGCUCUUCCUUAUGAUCUUGGUGUAAUUCUGUCUAGUGAUUUGUGGGGACGUGCUACCCCCCCUCUUGUGUAGCCCCUUCCAAUAUUAUCAAAAAAAUAGUGUGUUUCGUUGGAGGUCACAAGCAAGGUUCAAAGUAUUGAUACACCUCCCUGUAUUGUUGUUGAUAUACUUACAAGAGAAAAAGUCAGUCCUGGUACAAGUACUUUAAGAUGGAUGAUAAGGACGUAGGUCACACCUCCUUGUUUUGGUGAAAAUUUUUUAAUAAUGAAUGAUGUGGCUUUAACAUCCACUUUGAAUAAGUUAUUGUAGCUAUAACUACGGGUGCAAAUGUACAAUUUGAGAAGGCUAGGGUUGAGAUUUUUUUCAAAAUUCUUAUGGGCCUUGCCUGAAGGCCCAAG